rnacentral:sRNA from 1 species
UCACUACCGGUAUUGAACCUGCUGAUCAC